rnacentral:rRNA from 1 species
AGCUCCAAUAGUGUAUAUUAAUUUUGUUGCGGUUAAAAAGCUCGUAGUUGGAUCUCUGCGGGUAGGGGGAGGUUCGUUGUUUGACGCUACUUCCCCACUUAUCCGUGUUUUUGGCAGAGGUUGCAGGGUGAUCUUAACCGAUUGAUCUGUGAUGCUGUCAGGUUUACUUUGAAAAAAUUAGAGUGCUCAAGGCAGGCUUUACACGCUUGAAUAUUCGUGCAUGGAAUAAUAGAAUAGGACGUCGUUUCUAUUUUGUUGGUUUUCGGAAAUCGACGUAAUGAUUAAUAGGGACAGUCGGGGGCAUUAGUAUUCAGACGACAGAGGUGAAAUUCUUGGACCGUCUGAAGACUAACUACUGCGAAAGCAUUUGCCAAGAAUGUUUUCAUUAAUCAAGAACGAA